UGAUUCAGCUCCAGGGGAGUGAUGUGACCGCUGUUUGAUUUCAAUGCCUUGCUGGGCCUCAUAAUUUAAAGGGGCUCACAUUUUUCAGAUAGAAGUUUCUUUCUUUCUUUUUUUUUCUCCACAGAUGCAUGGCUUCACAAUUGCAACACUCGAGGAUGUUCAUGGAUUUCUGUCUAGGGAUUGAGGAUAACUCUGGGCUCUUCCUCCAUCUGUUUCAGGUUUUCCAGUGAUUGCGUUCAGAAGAGUGGUGCUGUUCAUUUUCCUCUCUUGGUAUAAUAUCUUA
rnacentral:lncRNA from 1 species